UACAGAGGGGGCAGGCGUUGUCCGGAUUUACUGGGCGUACAGCGCGCGCAGGCGGACCUGGACGUGCCGUGUGACAAGCCACCGCUCACCGGUGGAGGGCCACGGUACACGACAGUUCUGGAGGCAGGGAGAGGGAUGUGGAAUGCCCGGUGGAGCGGUGAAAUGCGUAGAUAUCUGGAGGAACACCGGUGGCGAAGGCGGCAUCCUGGACCGGCAUUGACGCUGAGGCGCGAAAGCCAGGGGAGCAAACGGG
rnacentral:rRNA from 1 species